rnacentral:rRNA from 1 species
CGGUUGAUCCUGCCGGACCCCACUGCUAUCGGGGUAGGAUAAGACAUGCUAGUUGAGCGUCUCCCAAGCUAUUGUAGAGACGUGGCAUACAGCUCAGUAACACGCGGCCAACCUACCCUUGGGACAAGAACAACCCCGGGAAACUGGGGCUAAUUCUUGAUAGGUGAGAAAUCCUGGAAUGGUUUCUCACCCAAAGGACGUCUAAACCAUGCUUUUAGACGUCGCUCAAGGAUGGGGCCGCGGCCGAUCAGGUUGUUGGUGAGGCAACGGCUCACCAAACCUAUAACCGGUACGGGCCGUGAGAGCGGAAGCCCGGAGAUGGGGACUGAGACAAGGCCCCAGGCCCUACGGGGGCGCAGCAGUCGCGAAAAACUCCGCAAUACACGAAAGUGUGACGGGGCUACCCCCGAGUGCCAUCCGCUGAGGAUGGCUUUUCCCCGCUGUAAGAAAGCGGAGGAAUAAGGAGAGGGCAAGCCUGGUGUCAGCCGCCGCGGUAAUACCAGCUCUCCGAGUGGUGGGGAUGUUUAUUGGGCUUAAAGCGUCCGUAGCCGGCCUGACAAGUCUCCCGUUAAAUUCAACGACUCAAUCGUUGAGCUGCGGGAGAUACUGUCAGGCUAGGAGGCGGGAGAAGCCGACGGUACUCUCGGGGUAGGGGUGAAAUCCUAUAAUCCCGGGAGGACCACCAGUGGCGAAGGCUGUCGGCUGGCACGCGCUCGACGGUGAGGGACGAAAGCUGGGGGAGCGAACCGGAUUAGAUACCCGGGUAGUCCCAGCUGUAAACGAUGCGGGCUAGGUGUUGGAGUGGCUACGUGCCACUCCAGUGCCGCAGGGAAACCAUUAAGCCCGCCGCCUGGGAAGUACGGCCGCAAGGCUGAAACUUAAAGGAAUUGGCGGGGGAGCAC